CCCGCUGAACUUAAGCAUAUCAGUAAGCGGAGGAAAAGAAACUAAACAGGAUUCCCUCAGUAACGGCGAGUGAACUGGGAAAUGUCCAUCGCUUAAUCAUUUUGCCUCAGGCAUUAUGAGGUGUAGCGUAUAAGCCGUAAUCUUUGAUCAGUUGUCUCAAACAAGUCCCCUUGACAGGGGUUCCAAAGAAGGUGCAAGUCCUGUACAUUGAGAUUACUGGUUGAUAUUUGCGUGCUUUAGAGUCGGGUUGCUUGGGAUCGCAGCCCAAAGUCGGUGGUAAACUUCAUCUAAGACUUAAUAUUGCCACGAGUCCGAUAGCAAACAAGUACUGUGAAGGAAAGUUGCAAAGCACUUUGAAGAGAGAGUUAAAGAGGACGUGAAACCGGUGAGGUGGAAACGGAUAGAGUCGGCGUAUCUUGCAAGUAUUCAUUUACAUUAUUUUUGUGUUGUGAUCUCUGAGCUCCAGACUGGGACAGAGGAAAGCGGCAUGAUUUUUUGUGAUGCAUUUGCUUGCUUGGUGCGUGGGGAUAUUUGAGGCAGAUUUGUGACCGCCAUUUUGAGGCCAGCUUGCUGGUACCCAAAUGGUGUUAACAUUUUUUGCCUUGGAUAUUUGAGUAUGGCUUACGGGCAUUAAUUGGUUCGAUCUGAGUGUAAGUUACGGUCGCAUGCGACACGUGCUUUUCAAUUAGUUCGGUCCAGUUAAUGCUCUCGUACUCUUUCCCCAUGUAAAAGCCGGUCAUCUAUCCGACCCGUCUUGAAACACGG
rnacentral:ncRNA from 1 species